UCCCAACGGGGGGCAGCAGUCGGGAAUAUUGCGCAAUGGAGGAAACUCUGACGCAGUGACGCCGCGUGCAGGAAGAAGGUUUUCGGAUUGUAAACUGCUUUAGACAGGGAAGAAAAAAGACAGUACCUGUAGAAUAAGCUCCGGCUAACUACGUGCCGGCAGCCGCGGUAAUACGUAGGGAGCAAGCGUUAUCCGGAUUUAUUGGGUGUAAAGGGUGCGUAGACGGAGAAGCGAGUUAGUUGUGAAAUCCCUCGGCUUAACUGAGGAACUGCAACUAAAACUGAUUUUCUUGAGUACUGGAGCGG
rnacentral:rRNA from 1 species